rnacentral:tRNA from 1 species
GGUGGUUUAGUUGGUUAAUCGCUUCGCUCUUAACCGAGUGGUCAUGGGUUCAACUCCCUCACUA